rnacentral:rRNA from 1 species
UACAGAGGUCCCAAGCGUUGUUCGGAUUCACUGGGCGUAAAGGGUGCGUAGGUGGCCAGGUAAGUUUGGUGUGAAAGCUCGGAGCUUAACUCCGAAAAGUCAUUGAAUACUAUCUGGCUGGAGGGUCGGAGGGGAGACUGGAAUUUACGGUGUAGCGGUGAAAUGCGUAGAUAUCGUAAGGAAGACCAGUGGCGAAGGCGGGUCUCUGGACAGUUCCUGACGCUGAGGCACGAAGGCCAGGGGAGCAAACGGG